GUUGUCUAUCUCCUGCCUGCCCUAAGUCUCUCUAUCAUGGGGACAUCAUCUUCACAACCUGUUACACCCAUGGAUUUCAGGCAGUCAGUUCUGCAGCAGUCAUAAGCUAAUGCUUGGGAUCAAACUCAGGCUCUUGCACAGGGCAGGUAACCAUUUGACACCUGAGGUACAUCACCAGACCAUUCGUUUCUUUCCAAUAAUGAAAUUCACCUUAAUAUCAUAGCCUUCAUGUUUCCAAAGUAAGAGCCUUCCUCUUCCUUCCCAUAGUUGCUAAGUCCAUGGAAACUAGGGAUUUCUUUUACUUUGAGUGUUUCCCCAGGACUGAGUUAUAUGAUGGCCGCCUAGAAAAU
rnacentral:lncRNA from 1 species